UACGGGGGGAGCAAGCGUUGUUCGGAUUUACUGGGCGUAAAGGGCGCGUAGGCGGCGUAACAAGUCACUUGUGAAAUCUCCGGGCUUAACCCGGAGCGGCCAAGUGAUACUGUUGUGCUAGAGUGCGGAAGGGGCUACUGGAAUUCUCGGUGUAGCGGUGAAAUGCGUAGAUAUCGAGAGGAACACCUGCGGCGAAGGCGGGUAGCUGGGCCGACACUGACGCUGAGGCGCGAAAGCUAGGGGAGCAAACGGG
rnacentral:rRNA from 1 species